CGGCGGGGUAGAGGCCCGCCGCGGUAACGACGGGUAACGGGGAAUCAGGGUUCGAUUCCGGAGAGGGAGCCCGAGAAACGGCUACCACUUCCAAGGAAGGCAGCAGGCGCGCAACUUACCCUAAUCUCGAUUCGAGGAGGUAGUGACAAGAAAUACCGAUGCGGGACCCUACGGGUGCCGCGUUCGGAAUGAGUACGAUUCGAACCACCUAACGAGGAACGAUCGGAGGGCAAGUCUGGUGCCAGCAGCCGCGGUAAUUCCAGCUCCAAUAGCGUACGUUAAAGUUGCUGCAGUUAAAAAGCUCGUAGUUGAACGUUCGGGUUCCGCGGGACGGGGCCGCCCCGCGAGGGACGGCGCCGCCCCGGGGCUCGUGAUAUCUCAUCUCGCCGCCCGUCGCGAGGCGGACGGAGGGAGUGGAUGAGGUUACCUGGAAAAAAUCGGG
rnacentral:rRNA from 1 species